rnacentral:lncRNA from 1 species
AGCCUUGGGGAAAGAGCUGGGCUUGGAGAGGAAGAAGGGGUCCUGGCCCAUUCCCUUGGAGUCCACCAGGUCCGUGGGCACGUACUCCUUGACGGAGCCUACCACGAUCCAUUUAAGCAGCAUGAGGCUGAGCCCCAGGCCGAUGAAGCCGAUGAACAGAGGCACCACGCACAACCACGUCUGCUGCCGGUUCCACACGAUGCAGUCGCUACAGCGUAACUCCCGGGGAGGUUCGGCCGCCCCUUCUCCGCCGCCGUCCGGGCCCCCGCCCGCCGCCGCCGCCGCCGCAGCCGCCGCGGUGCCCUCCUCGGCUGAGGCGGCGGCUGCCGAAGCGGCACCAGGUGGCGAGGCACCGGCCGCCCCUUCACUCAUCCUAGGAGCCGAUCUUCACCUUCGCCCCCCCGAGGGCCGCGCCAGAGGCAUGGGGCCGCGCGGGCCGGGCGCGGGCGCGGGCGCGGGCUCCGGCGGCGGCGGGCUCCGGCUCAGGCAGCGGCCGCGGCGGCCGCAUGCAAAUCGGCUCCCUGCCCCCACGCCCCUCCCCCCGAGAGGCGGGCGGCGGGCGGGGAGGAGAGGACGGGGGAGGGGACGCGGGCCGGGGAGGGGGCGGCGAGGCGCUCGGUAGAGGGGCGAGACCGGCCCGGGCGCCGCCGGCCGGUCAGGGAGCGGCGGGGCGAGUCUGCAGCCCGCCUAGGUGCCUCCUGCGCGACGGGGUCCCUCGGCUGCCGGUGGUGCUGAUGCUGCCGCUGAUGCUGAUGCUGAUGCUGCCUUGGAUGCUGAUGCUGAUGCUGCCGCUGGUGCUGAUGCUGCCCGCCGCCUGUGUGCGCUCCAGCCUCGCCGGCAUCCUCGGUGCGCCGCGCCCGGCCCGCUCCCUGGGGCGUCCGGCCGCACCGCCGCUGUCCCCACCUCAAAUCCUCACGUCACCCUCAGGGGCCCCGGCGAGCAGUAGCUGGAUGCUGGGCGCCGACAAGCCGCAUUCCGACACAGGGGGCCAACCUAGCAGCCCCUCGCCCAGCCCGUACGCAGCGUUGCACGGUGGUUACUCGGCGAGCCUGGGCGAUGAGGUGCACCUGUUCUUCAGCCGGCCCGCAGCCAACCCUCGGUCAACGCUCUCCGGGAGAAACCAAUCCUAGAGCAGCGCGGAGGGCGAGCGACCGGGCUCGCCUCGCUCCCGCCGCCCGCGGCUCUGCGCCGCUACUGCCGCCGCCACCGUGAGUCAAACUCCAGCAAGCUACCCCGCCGCUCAGGAGCGGGGUACCCCGGGGCGCACCCCGACCAGCACGCAGAGGAUACCAAACAGCUCCGGUGACGCUGCCUGGCCGACCCGGGCUAGCAAAAAUGGGAGAUAGCGACAGGGGUCCCGGACGUCGUGACCGCUGCUCCAAGCGUUUUCUUGCACUCAACCAGGCGGCUUCGGGUGUAUGUGUGUGUGUGUUUGUGUGUAGAGUCGCCGCGGACAGGGUGGGAUUCGGGCAGAGUUGCGCCUCCCACCAACACCUAAUGGUGCUGUCUUACUGUGUGCUAGAUAAAUAAAUGAUCCAAGCGGACCCCCGUUGGAGAAGUACGGCACUAGGAGCUCUGUGGAGCAGCCGUGAACAGGUCUCUGGUGUGGAUCCUGCGGGGUCAGACACUGAAGCUGCUGGGAGAAUGCGCACGGGCGUGUUAGGUGGGAGGGCGCCUCUGAGCUCCCCUGCCCCGCCGCGGUGCGGCUGGACAGAGAACCACCUUUGCUUUGGAGUUGCUGAGAGCUGCUGCUGAAGCAGACGACCUUUCUGUGAUCAGAUCUCGAAGCCAUUAACUUACCUUUUAAAAAGUAUUAUCUUUAAAUGUAGGUACGCCCUGGGAAACAAGGCGAGAGGCGAAGAUGAGAAAAGAUGCUGGCUAGUCUCUUAAAUUUCAUAGCCGGUUUCUUCCUUUUGGUAGAGGGAGAUCAGAGUAUUUCCAAUCUCGGGUACACUGUGGUACCUCCCUGAGGACCAGGUAUAGCACAGACAGGAAACGGGCAAGAGCCAGGGCUACCAUGAUAUACAUACGCUGGUCCUGUAAAGCGAUGCUUCCCACCCUACCCAGAUUUCUCGGCUAAGGUAGAAACGAAAGAGGCUUUUUUUUUUCAUUUAUUUAUUUUUUACAAGUGUCAUGCAAGGAUGGGAGAGUGAGAAUGGCAUCUUUCUUAUCACGUACCUCCCAGGGCUGUCCGAGAAUGCAGUCAGCAUUGUCCUGUCCUGUGAUGCACUCCACAAAGACGAAGUUUCCUAGGUAUCCAUUUUAUUCACACGUUAAGAGCAAAAGAAAAUGCUAAUCUAAGGAGAUGGCAGAGUGCAGAGAAUACGUUCAAACAGGAAGCCCUUGAGGGAUUGUGCCUACCAGAGUUCUUUGCACAGGCGUGAUUAAUAAAUUACUUUUUGAUGGCAGUAAUGUGGCUGUCACCUCUUUCAGCUCUAACACUGAGACUUACCCCAUAGGAAAAUCUUUGGUUUUUAAUUUAACCAAACAUGCCCUAACCCAGUAGGGCAGAAUGAUGCCUUCCAGAAUUUCAAUGGGGAAACAAGCAAAACAAACAAACAACAACAAAACAUUAAAUCCAUACUCCUUUGGCUUUCUGAUGCAAGACACAAGUAAAAAUGUCUUAACCUUCUGUGGGCUGACAGGCAUCUGCUCCGUGCCUUCUCAUGCAGUAAAAUAAAAGCAUUUCCACAUUGUAGUAGGUGCUGCUGUUGACACUUGAGAAAGAAGAUUUCUUUUCCACACUUAGUUCAUCAUCAUCCCUCCCAAAUCCCACCCCCAGUAUUCUGUGUUCUUUGCCUUCUUCCUCCCCCACUUGAAAGGUUCCAAAACACAAAGAGAGGUGCUGCAAUGCUUUUGUGGAUAAAUGCUCUCUUCCUGAAACCACAAUUGGACAGUAUCCACAUUCUCUUCAUUGCUUCCCAAAGCCUUCUUCCAAAUUCCCUCUCCUUCUCCUUUCUACUUCGAUUUAAAAGCUUAUUCGUGGUUCCCUAUUGAGUUCCGGUUUUCCUGGAACACCAGUCAUGGUAUAUCAGCUGCUCUUACAAGGAAACAUCUCCAGAGGGAGCAGGGCCAGCAGAGCCCAUUGCUUUGAUGAUUUUCUAUUAAGGAUCAGGGGGUAACAGACCAUCCAGAGAAAUUUAGUAGAAGUAACUGUUCUCCCUGCAAAGCUGUGUUGUAAAGCUUCCUGGUAGUCGGUGGUAACCAUUGGACUGAAACUGGGGAAACACUGUUCAUGAUAGAGUCAAGGUCCAGGGCUGGGCCCUCUUGCUGAUAAAGACCAGACAGCAUUCCAUUAACAGGCAUGACUUAGAAGCACCAAAGAAGCAAGCCUCUGGGAAUGUCUGUGAGUGAUUUUCUAGAUUAGGCUAGUUGAGGAAGAGAGACUCACUUAAACUAUAGUCCAUGGGCUUGGCUACUUCUGAAUAACAUGGAAAAAUGUGGCUAAGCACCAGAUUGUCUCCCUGUGUUUCCUGUGGCUGCAAUGGGAGCUGCUGUUGCCAUACUCUGCCACCAUACCUGCCUUACCAUAGGAACCAUGUCCCCAAGCUGUGAGCAAGAACCAAACUUUUCUUCCUUCCUUAAGUUACUUUAGCCAGCUAUUUCAUCACAACAGUGAGACCUGUAACUAAGACACUUACCCGCUAAGGAGCAUCCUGGUUCUAAUGACUCAUCCCUUACUGAGAACAAACACUGUAGGAGGUACAUAUUAAGACACAGUUUCAAGUUAGAGCUAUGCCCCUGGUAAUGAUGAAAUCCCUUUGGACCGGUUUUUCUAAACUAUGAAAUGGAGCUGAUGAGAACCUUAUUAAAAAUCCUUAAUCCAAAAAAAAAAAAAAAAAA